UACGGAGGGUGCAAGCGUUAUCCGGAUUCACUGGGUUUAAAGGGUGCGUAGGUGGGUUGGUAAGUCAGUGGUGAAAUCAUCCGAGCUUAACUUGGAAACUGCCAUUGAUACUAUCAGUCUUGAAUAGUUGUGGAGGUCAGCGGAAUAUGUCAUGUAGCGGUGAAAUGCUUAGAUAUGACAUAGAACACCAAUUGCGAAAGGCAGCUGGCUACGGCAUAUAUUGACACUGAGGCAACGAAAAGCGUGGGGAUCAAACAGGG
rnacentral:rRNA from 1 species